rnacentral:lncRNA from 1 species
GUGCCGGGGGCGGCUCCGGCCGCGGUGGGGCCUCUUCCGGCCGUGGGGCCGCGUGUGCUGUGUUGGUCUCCGUCUGCGGGUCCGUUUGUCGGCGCACGGACGGGAGCGGUUUUGUUUCGGGUACUCCAUCCGCAGCUCUUCAUUUGGUAACGGUCCGUGUGACACCUGGACUGGUGCUGAUGAGUUGCGGUCUGUCCAAGGACUCAGUUUGGAAGAUGAUAGGAGAUGGCUGAAGGUGUACUGUGAAGCCUUUUGCUGUGGUCUGACUGUACAGAUCCCAGAACCCAUUCCAGCUGCAGAUACAGUGUGUGCUUCUCAAGUAAAUGGGCACACUGGGAGCCUACAGACUUACUCAGGGGGCCUCUUGCAGUACCUGUAGAAGAAAAGACCAGGAGAUGCUUUGUGUCCUGUGGGGAUAGCUGUGCUACACCUCUAUCCAGCUGAGCCUUGGAACUUCCUCUUCGGACAAACUCUUUGACAGAAGGUACUGUGUCUUCCAGCAAUGACUUUGUGUGCCUUGAGGACUCAGAUGGCUUUCAAAAUAGAAACAGUCAGCUUCAGUUGAAUGUGAUGAUCUUUUAGGUCCCUUCCAAUGGAAUUGUUUUAUUCUAUUCUGUGCUAGAAAU